AGUGAACGCUGGCGGUAGGCCUAACACAUGCAAGUCGAACGGCAGCACAGUAAGAGCUUGCUCUUACGGGUGGCGAGUGGCGGACGGGUGAGGAAUACAUCGGAAUCUACUUUUUCGUGGGGGAUAACGUAGGGAAACUUACGCUAAUACCGCAUACGACCUACGGGUGAAAGCAGGGGAUCUUCGGACCUUGCGCGAUUGAAUGAGCCGAUGUCGGAUUAGCUAGUUGGCGGGGUAAAGGCCCACCAAGGCGACGAUCCGUAGCUGGUCUGAGAGGAUGAUCAGACACACUGGAACUGAGACACGGUCCAGACUCCUACGGGAGGCAGCAGUGGGGAAUAUUGGACAAUGGGCGCAAGCAUGAUCCAGCCAUACCGCGUGGGUGAAGAAGGACUUCGGGUUGUAAAGCCCUUUUGUUGGGAAAGAAAAGCAGCAGGUUAAUACCCCGCUGUUCUGACGGUACCCAAAGAAUAAGCACCGGCUAACUUCGUG
rnacentral:rRNA from 1 species